rnacentral:rRNA from 1 species
GAUGAACGCUGGCGGCGUGCCUAAUACAUGCAAGUCGAGCGAAAAGACGAGGAGCUUGCUCCUCUGACGUUAGCGGCGGACGGGUGAGUAACACGUGGAUAACCUACCUAUAAGACUGGGAUAACUUCGGGAAACCGGAGCUAAUACCGGAUAAUAUAUUGAACCGCAUGGUUCAAUAGUGAAAGACGGUUUUGCUGUCACUUAUAGAUGGAUCCGCGCCGCAUUAGCUAGUUGGUAAGGUAACGGCUUACCAAGGCAACGAUGCGUAGCCGACCUGAGAGGGUGAUCGGCCACACUGGAACUGAGACACGGUCCAGACUCCUACGGGAGGCAGCAGUAGGGAAUCUUCCGCAAUGGGCGAAAGCUUGACGGAGCAACGCCGCGUGAGUGAUGAAGGUCUUCGGAUCGUAAAACUCUGUUAUUAGGGAAGAACAAAUGUGUAAGUAACUAUGCACGUCUUGACGGUACCUAAUCAGAAAGCCACGGCUAACUACGUG